rnacentral:ncRNA from 1 species
UUAUGGUUUGAUUAUUUUAAUUUAAAUUUGUUUUACAUAUAAAUUUUAGUAUUAAUUUUUAAUUAUUUUAAUAAUUUUAAAAUUAAGAUAAGUAGUAAUUAAAAUUAAAAAUUUAAGAAAUUAAGAUUUAGUAAUAUUUAAUAAUUAUUAACAAAUUUUGUGCCAGCAGUUGCGGUUAUACAAAAAAUAAUUUAAAUUUUAUCAGUAUAUAAUAAUUAUUUAUAUAAAAAAAAAUAAAUAAUUAAUUAUUAAGUGAAAUUUUAAUAAAUUUAAAUUUUUUUUAAUAAGUAUGAUUUAUUAAAUUUUUUAAAAAACUAGGAUUAGAUACCCUAUUAUUAAAAAUUAAAUUUAAAAUACUAAAAUAGUAUAUAAUUAUUUAUAAAAACUUAAAUAAUUUGGCGGUAUUUUAGUUCAUUUAGAGGAAUCUGUUUAUUAAUUGAUAUUCCACGAAUAAAUUUACUUAAUUAAUAUGUUUUGUAUAUCGUUGUUAAAAAAAUAUUUUUUAAUAAUAAUAAUAUUUAAAAAUUUUUAUAAAAAAUUAAUUCAGAUCAAGAUGCAGAUUAUAAUUAAGAAUAUAAUGGAUUACAAUAAGAAAAAAUUAAAUGAAUAUUAUUUUUUAAAAAAUAUUUGAAGGUGGAUUUAAAUGUAAUUUUAUUUAAUUUAUUAAAAUGAUUUUUAAUUAAAAUAUGUACAUAUUGCCCGUCGCUUUCAUAAAUAAAUUGAAAUAAGUCGUAACAAAGUAGAGGUACUGGAAAGUGUUUCUAGAAAGAG